rnacentral:rRNA from 1 species
ACUCCUACGGGAGGCAGCAGUGGGGAAUUUUGCGCAAUGGGGGAAACCCUGACGCAGCAACGCCGCNNGGGUGAUGAAGGCCUUCGGGUCGUAAAGCUCUGUCUGGAGGGAAGAAAUGAUUGGGAGCCAAUACCUCUUGAUCAAUGACGGUACCUCUGAAGGAAGCACCGGCUAACUCCGUGCCGCCAGCCGCGGUAAU